rnacentral:lncRNA from 1 species
UCAGGAAUUGCUACAAUGCUUUCACGCCUCAAAAGUACACAUGUAUUCAAACAAGAACUCUCCUCUGAAAUAGAGUGAACUAUUCUGACACGAAACUUACUCAUAUUACCUUCCACAUGGGGCUUGUAACUAUCACUUGGGUCUUGAGCAGUUGAAAGACAGAACAGUCAAGUCGAGCACUAUAUAUUUCUCACUCUUUGAUAAACUAUUAUUCUAGAGUUUUUGCAAGAUUUUCAAAAAAAACUCAGAGUUUCCUUUUAUGACCCUUUCAAGUCUCUCAUUUGUGAUAUUUCUAGAUCCUUACCAAGGCAUGAAUGUUAUAUGCCUUCUCUCUACUCUUAGAAUAAGACAUAUGUUAUAUAGUUAAACCAUGGAUCCAAAGAAACUAGUCAUGCCAUCAAAUCAUAUGUGCAUGUGAAUAAGAGGAGUGAAGCAAGUAAUAUAAAUGGUGAUGAUGAUAGUUGUGGAGAUCUAGUUAUACAUUUGCUCCUUGGUGAUAACAUAACUCCCUUAUUUGGAAAUUAAAGACCAUGGAGGAACUUGGCUUGCUCUUUCUCUCUUUUUUUCUUUCUUGGGACAUUUGUCCUCUUUCCUUUUUUCUCUCUUUUUUUCCUGAGAGCAACCAAGCCUCUUACUACAAAUAUAUUAAUAGGGAGUGUUAACUGGUGUAACUGGAGCUUUAUUGAAUGACCAGAAAAGGAUAGGAUGGUGACAUAUUUUUUUGGUGUUCACUCCCAGUGUAGGAGUGGAACAUGUUCAAAAUAUAUGCAUGUGAAUAAAGUAAUGCGUACUCCCACGGUAGGAGCAGCACAGGUGCGUGUUUCCAGGGUAUAAACAGCACAAGAUGCAUGGAGUAUAUGUAUAUGUGGGUGGUACUUCCAGGAACAUAAGUAGCAUAGAAUGAAUGGGGCAUACUUCUAAGGACAGAAGCAGCAUAGAUCAAUGGAUGGAUAGCACAUAAUAUUGACUUUAACUGCAUGACUAAUUCCUAAGGGUCAACACAGCUUAACUACACACAAUGCCUACAAGCAGUAUAUAGAAGUGGAUGGCUUUCCUAUUCUAGUAAGCAUGUAUAUUUGGCUGUGGUAGGAAUUUUGAACUCUCAUCAAACAGGAAAUCAUCAUGCAACAAUUUAAGAUUUUCAAAGAUAAAUUCUCUAGAACUCUAGUAUCUCUAGGAACAAGAUGGAUAGCCGCUCAAAACCUUCCCAUAUCAUAUCUGUCAACUACCUAGACUUAGAUCAAGCAUUCGCUACCCACAAGUUUCAACUUCAGAGCAAACCUCAAAUCAAAAUAGUUGCUUCAAAACUCGGGAGAGUUCGAGGUUGAAAACUAGGUACUUGAAAGGAAUUAUGACAGAGCAACUAUUCAUCAUUUCCAUAAGAGAUUAUUCUAUAGGGUUUAUUUUAGCAGGCAAUUUCUUCCAAUACUCUCCUAAAUUUUAUUUAGCAAACUUAAUAUCAAAAUAUAAAGGUAGAUAUAGAUAUAAAUAAAUAGGGAAAUCUUUAUUUGGGUUUCUAUGGUUAUGCAUCUUUUUAUUUAUUUUAGAUUAACAAAGCACACUUAAUAAAUAAAUAGAUAAGUAAGUGAUACUUAGCUGGAUAAAAGGGGGUGCACUCCCCCAAGAUGGAUGUUGACGUAG